ACACAAGUAAAUAUAAUCACAACGCAAGUAAAAUAUGAAAUACUGGAAAUUCUUUUUGUGAAGUGGAAACAUUGUUGUGAUAUUUUGCAAAAUGGCGCUUGUUUAAAUUUGUUCCACGAAAAACCAGACUUAUUAUAAAUUAUAUUCAAUAUAUUGCUUGAUGGAUAGCAAAAAAAAUGUUUUGUUCAAACUGUGGUAUAGAAAGUGUGGAAAAUGCGAAUUACUGUUAUAAAUGUGGCAACUCCUUCGAACCGAUGCGCGAAAAACUUGAAGAAUCUGCAAACCAGACUGGAAAGUAUGCCUUGCGCAACCUAGAUCUAGCUUGCGCAAUUUCGGGAGAAAUGCGCGUCCUGACGCGCAGAUUUUAAAAAAUUUCUUGUUCGCCGCGCAUUUGUGAAAUUUGCCGCGCAGCGCGAGAAAUUAUUGCGCAAUAUCAGCACAUGUGCGCUGCAGCGCUGUUGUUUCCGUUGAAAAAAAUUGUUGCCUGUUGAAUGUCAAUCUUACAAGCUGUUUUGACAGGCAAGUUCCGUUAAUUGGUUGGUAAGCCAAUAAGCGUUUGAUGACUAGAAAUAUGAUAUCUGAGCAGAUUAACUACACAUUCUUUGCUUUCGUUUUUCGAGCUUUCUCUUUUUAAGUGACUUCAAGGCAAACCAUAUCGAUUCUUCGGUGUAUUCUACGGUGAUACGUGAUAUUUAAUUAAACCAACUUGGGGUGUUCAAAUUUGUAAGAUGGCUGAGAUUCAAGCAGUUAAAUCAGUUUGCGUUUCAUGCAAGAAGGAAUGUGGAAGCCAUUUUUGCAAAGUUUGCAAAAAAACGUGCCACGCAAUUCCGCCUUGCUCAACAUCAGCAGGUGAUGAUGAAG